ACGGGUGAGUAAUACAUCGGAACGUGCCCAAGAGUGGGGGAUAACGGAGCGAAAGCUUUGCUAAUACCGCAUACGAUCUACGGAUGAAAGCAGGGGACCGCAAGGCCUUGCGCUCAUGGAGCGGCCGAUGGCAGAUUAGGUAGUUGGUGGGAUAAAAGCUUACCAAGCCGACGAUCUGUAGCUGGUCUGAGAGGACGACCAGCCACACUGGGACUGAGACACGGCCCAGACUCCUACGGGAGGCAGCAGUGGGGAAUUUUGGACAAUGGGCGCAAGCCUGAUCCAGCCAUGCCGCGUGCAGGAUGAAGGCCUUCGGGUUGUAAACUGCUUUUGUACGGAACGAAAAGCCUCUUUCUAAUAAAGAGGGGUCAUGACGGUACCGUAAGAAUAAGCACCGGCUAACUACGUGCCAGCAGCCGCGGUAAUACGUAGGGUGCGAGCGUUAAUCGGAAUUACUGGGCGUAAAGCGUGCGCAGGCGGUAAUGUAAGACAGAUGUGAAAUCCCCGGGCUCAACCUGGGAACUGCAUUUGUGACUGCAUUGCUGGAGUGCGGCAGAGGGGGAUGGAAUUCCGCGUGUAGCAGUGA
rnacentral:rRNA from 1 species